rnacentral:tRNA from 1 species
GGGCCGGUAGUUCAGCCUGGUAUACUGACAUGUCAGGCCGAAGAACGUCCGGUUUGCAUGCCUAGAGUGUCAAGACACCGGAAGGUCGCGGGUUCAAAUCCCGCCCGGUCCA